rnacentral:lncRNA from 1 species
CUUUCAGACUGUAAGUUUCCGAAAGUUGGAUAUUGUGUUUUACCCUACAGAACAGAGCUCUGAUGGUAGAGUACAUGUCUUCAUCAGAGAUAGGAGCUUCCUGAGGACGGAGGCUGGAUUUCAGAUUGGAGCUGGGAAGUCGAUGUUUGUCCCUUUCAUCACAUCGGAUGUUCCUGAGGCAGAGUCUGUGUGCUUCCUGGACGGCAAGUCUGUCUCCUUUCCUUCGCAGGCCUAUGGAGGCCCCACCCCCAUUGGUGUGGUUUCCUGCCUACAGGGGGCGCUAGGGGCCCAGAGGACUGAUUUCCAAUGGAUGGGUCCUGUUUCUUGGUACUCAAGGCGCGGGUCCUCCGCGGUUUAGGCAUCUGAGGAUUUGGUGGGUAGGGACCCCAUCCUGUGAGGCUUUUGACCUAGACUUGGCCCCUGUCUGGCAGUCAAGGCCAGGCCUGCCUCGUCAGAAUCUGUGGCCAGCAUGUGGGAGAAUCUCCAAGUUUGGUUACCCACAGUUUAUUCCAGGAAGGGACAGUGUGGCCCUUGGUACAGAAUGGCCUUGCCCACCUCCUCUCUCCCCAUAACCAUGGCAGCCAAACCUCCGUCCUCCAUGAACCUCACAAACCCCACUGUCCAGCCUUUGUGUGCGUGUGCUGUUCUCCGUGGCUGAAGCACCCUCUCUUUCUGUCCUUGAGGACAGCUGAAGUCUCACCAGGUCUCCUGGAUACUCUGGCUUUCAGCAGGAUCCAACCUGGGCAAACCCACCUGGAGGUACCCCACAUGCCCAGACACCCUCUCUUCCUGCUGUGUGCACACCCUCUGACAUCCUCACAGACAGCAUGCUCACCACCGCAGCAAAACCAAAACCAGGACACCACAGAGGAGCCCAGGAGAGUGAAACGAGAGACCGGCCAAAACCCUCCCCGCCUCCUCCUACCCCACGGGCUGGAGGUCUUCCUGGGGAAGAUUGGGAAGGGUAUCUGGUGGGAAGGAACGGCUGUGGUCUGAGUUUGGAGGAGGGGGGCAGGGUGUGGAUUUCCAGAGAGAAUUAAAAAAUUCCAACAAAUGUAAACAAAUGUGUAUAAUCUUAGGCAGAU